UGAGAAAUCUGCCCUUCUCUUUGGAAUAAGCGUUGGAAACGACGUCUAAUGCCGAAUACGACCUCCUUUCGCAUGAUCGGAGGUGGAAAGCUCCGGCGGAGAAGGAUGAGCUCGCGGCCUAUCAGCUAGUUGGUGUGGGUAAUGGCCCACCAAGGCGACGACGGGUAGCCGGCCUGAGAGGGUGACCGGCCACACUGGGACUGAGACACGGCCCAGACUCCUACGGGAGGCAGCAGG
rnacentral:rRNA from 1 species